rnacentral:misc_RNA from 1 species
GACACCAGUAAGACUUACCAUAAGCUGACUUACAGUGUUCUAAUUUUGUUAUAAAACCGACACCAGUAAGACUUACCCAAAGCUGACUUACAGUGUUCGAAUAUAGUUUUAAUACAAUGUUUUUUGUAAAUGAUAACGAAUUAUGCGACGCAGAAGUAAUAGUAUCCGACAUGGAACAGAACAAGGAAUCAACUGCAGUACUUGGUACAGAUGGCUCAAAGAAAAGGAAGAACUCGACAAAAACCGUAGCUCAAUCGAAGAAGAAAAAGGAGACUCCGGAGCAGAUGACGAAUCUAUUAAAAGAGACGCCAGUGACGAAAUUAUUCAAUUUCUGCGAGAAAAAGAUGGGAAAGAAUAUAAUAACGGAGGACGAUCAAUUGGUGGGACUAUGCGAGAUUAUACAGAACAACAGCGACGGUACGUUCCAUCCGGCAGUUCUUUUGAUUAUUUGGGCAGUACAUUGCCCAAUGUUUGUGGAGACUCUUUAUCAUCCGGUUCGUUGGACAGCGCACAAUAUACAGACAUGGUGGACGGAAUUAGCGAUUAUGCAGUCGGAGGAGAUGACGCAGAUGUUGACCUGUUUGAGGAGGAGUUUGAAGAUGUCGUACAGCAAUAUGCACGUUCAAUCUAUAGUAAACCUGUGUCUGGAAUACACAAGUACAUCUCUUCCCUCAUUGUGCCAGAUGGACCUGAUGGAGUUCAUAGAGCAAUCGAAGAAAUUGAAAAACUUAUUGAGCGAUACCCACCUAAGCACUGGUUCAUCUACUCAAGUCACGGAGAUCAUAUCCACGUGUCCCACAUCUGCCCCAAUUCAAACGAAUCUUGUAGAUGCCAAUGGUUACAGCGAUCGACAGCUUGGGCAAAGUACGGACGACGUCGACUUCGCAGAAUUACUAGGGCAAGUCAACUCCAACCAAUCGACUACACAAACGUACUUAGAUACUUAUCUAAAGCCCCUAGAUUCGUCCACGGAGUUGGUGGCUUCGCAGAAGAUGAGCGAUUACGUGAUCGAUAUAAACAUUUAUCGCAAUACUAGGUGACGUAUGAGAAAAACUUUUUAGUUAAAAAAAAAAUUGGAUUGGAACUAAUAUGCAUAUGAAAAUAGAUUGUUUGUAAUAAUUACACUCUAUUUACAUAUUGUAAUACUAUUACGUGAAUGGUCAACUGGAAGAGAAUUAGUGUUUACAGUAUUUCCCUCCGGAUAUACUUAUAUUCGUAUUAUAAUACCAAUACGUGCUUAUUAAGCAAAGCUUUGACUCCAAAACAACAUUUCCUUUAAGUAUUGUUUUGUUAUAAAAAAAAACCACAGAAAUAUUAUGUUAUUUAUCGAUUAUACAACUAUAAUCAAAAUAUAUUUACCAAUUUAAACUCAGUAUUGCGUUCACACCUAACAUUUGCACAUAGGUGUAAAUCAUUACCACUUAUUUGAUAUCUGUGGGUAAGCCAUUAAUAUAAUUAUACUUAAGAUCAUAUACAUUUUCAAAUCAAACAUCAUGCGUUAGUAAAUAUUAUACACUUAUUUCUAUUAAUAUUUAAAAAUUGAAAAAAAUUAAACCAAACUUUUAGGUCAGUAACACUCCGUAGUCGAGUGAGAUCAGGGACGGAUGAAUUAUCUUAAAAACUUCAAACCGACGUCAUUACUCACGAAAAAAAAAUAACAAUUCUGAGCAAAAGAGAUGGCGUGAAUCAGUUCACGAUUCCAUGAAGAUGUUUGAUAUAGAAUAUAAAAUUAUAUUAUAUAGUAUAUAAUAUAUAUAUUAUAUAGAAUAUAAAAUUAUAUUUCUUAUUAAGAUAAAUUUAACUUUAUGCUUUAACCAGGCGUCUAGUGAUGGAAAAAUUAAUGUGAACAAUGAUUUAUUAUGUGUUAUCAAACCAUUUACGAUUAAAAUUUGGAAAAAAUCGGAAUUUCAAAGAAUUAAAACGGACCACAAAAAUCAAA